rnacentral:rRNA from 1 species
UACCUGGUGAUCCUCCCAUAGUCAUAUGCUUGCUCAAAAAUAAGCCAUGCAUGUAAUAUGAACAAAUUCAGACUGAAACUGCGAAUGGCCAUUAAAUCAUAUAGUUUUGAUGUAUCUGCUACUCGAAACCGUAAAUCUAGAGCUAAUACUGCAACAAACCCCGACUCUGAAGGAGCAUUAUAAUAAAAGUCACGCGGCUUGCCCGUUGCUGCGAUGAUCAAAAACUCGACGAUCGCACGCCCUUGGCCGCGACGCAUCAUCAAAUUUCUCCCACAACUUUCGAUGGUAGAUAUGGCCUACUAUGUGACGGUGACGGAGAAUUAGGUCGAUCCGGAAGGAACCCUGAAACGCUACCACAUCCAAGGAAGCAGCAGGCGCGCAAAUUACCCAAUCCUGACACGGAGUAUGACAAUAAAUAACAAUACCGGCUCAUACAGUCUGAAUUGGAAUGAUACAAUCUAAAUCCCUAACGAGGAUCCAUUGAGGCAAUCUGGUGCCACAGCCGCGUAAUUCACUCCAAUAGCGAUAUUAAUUGUUGCAUAAAAAGCUCGUAUUGACUUUGGUGUCGGCCGUCCGCCAUCAGGUUGCACCGUUUACUCGUCCCUCUGUCGGCGAUGCGCUCCUACCCUUAACUGGCGGGUCUGCCCGCUUGUUACUUGAAGAAAUUAGUGCUCAAAGCAAGCCUACCUCGUAUACAUAGCAUGGAUAACAUCAUAGGAUUCGGUCCUAUACGUUGCCUCGGGAUCGAGUAAUGAUAACAGGACAGUCGGGCAUUCGAUUCAAUCAAGUGAAAUCUGGAUUAAAAACGAACAAUGCGAAAGCAUUCCAAGGAUUUCAUUAAUCAAGAACGAAAUGGGGCUCGAAGACGAUCAAUACCGUCCUAGUCUCAACCAUAAACAUGCCGACCAGGAUCAGCGGAUUUCUUUAGGACUCCGCUGCACCUUAGAAAAUCAAAUUUUGGUUCCGGGAGAUGUCGCAAGCUGAAACUUAAAGGAAUGACGAAGGCACCACCAGAUGAGCCUGCGCUAAUUGACUCAACACGGGAAACUUACCAGUCCAACAUAGUAAGAUGACAGACUGAGAGCUCUUCUUAUUCUAUGGUGGUGCAUGGCCGUCUUAGUUGGUGAGCGAUUGUCUGUUAAUUCCGUAACGAACGAGACCUCAGCCUGCUAACUACUAUGGAGGAUCCCUCCAUGGCCAGCUUCUUAGAGGACUAUGCCUUUAGGCCACGAAGUUGAGGCAAUAACAGGUCUGAUCCCUUAAUGUUCUGGCCGCACGCGCCACACUGAUGUAUCAACGAUAUAUACCUGGCCGACAGCCCGGAAAUCUUGAAAUUCAUCGUGAUGGGAUAGAUCAUGCAAUGUUGGUCCUAAACGAGGAAUCCUAGAAGCGCAUCAUCAGCUCGCGUGACUACGUCCCUGCCCUGUACACACCGCCCGUCGCCCUACGGAUGAAUGUCCGUAAGUGUAGACGUGCGACGGGCGGUCGCUGCCCCGACUCGCAGAAAUCCACUGAACCUAUCAUAGAGAAGAGAAUCUAACAAGGUUCCGUAGAACCUGCGGAAGAUCAUUGUCGAACCCUGCACACAGAACACCCGAACAAUUAACACAUCGCCUUCCGGACCGAAGCAUUGUUUCGGCCCUUGUAGUCCUGUCGACGUCGUUCAUGCUGGACCAUACCUUUGUUUGUCAUGAUUCAGUUGACAAAAUAACAAACCCCGCACGAAUGUCCAAGAAAACCAAAAUUAAAGAACACUGCUUGCCCCCGUCGGUGCGCACUGUCGGCUUCUGAAACUAAAACGACUCCGCAACGAUACCGCCACGCAUCGAUAAAACGAGCAAAAUGCAUACUUGGUAAAUGCAGAAUCCCGUGAACCAUCGAGUUUGAACGCAAUUGCGCCCGAAGCCAUUCGUGAGGCACGUCUCCUGGGCGCACGCAUCACUCGCCCCCACCAGCAUCCCCUAUAGGCUGUCUUUGUGGGCGGAAUGGUCCCCCGGCCCAUGCGUGUGGCCUAAAUAGAUCUCCUCGCGAGGACGCACGCUAUGGGUUGAUAAGACAGUCGUCCGUGUCGCGUUACUUCUUGAAUAGAUCCUUAAAGUACCCGAGUUGCUAUGACGAUCUCGAUCGCGACCCCAGUCAGCGGACUACCCCGCUGAGUUAACAUAUCAAAAGCGAGGAAAAGAAACUACUAGGAUUCCUAGUAACGCGAGCGAACCGGAACAGCCCAGCUUGAAAAUCGGCGCUUCGUCGUCCGAAUUGUAUCUGGAAACGUCCUCAGCGCGGACCGGCCCAAUCCCCUGAAGGGGCCGGAGGUGAAGCCCCGUCGUGCCCGACCCGUCGCACCACGAGCGCUCUGCGAGUCGGUUUGGAAUGCACCCCAAUAGGCGUAAAUUCCGUCCAAGCAAAUACUGCGUGAACCGAUAGCAACAAUACCGCGAUGGAAAAUGAAAAGACUUUGAAAAGAGAGUCAAAGAGCUUGAAAUGUCGGAGGAACGAAGGG